AGAGUUUGAUCCUGGCUCAGGAUGAACGCUGGCGGCGUGCUUAACACAUGCAAGUCGAGCGAAGCGCUUUUUUAGAACUCUUCGGAGGGAAGAGAGGGUGACUUAGCGGCGGACGGGUGAGUAACGCGUGGGCAACCUGCCUUACACAGGGGGAUAACAAUUAGAAAUGAUUGCUAACACCGCAUAAGACCCCGGUACCGCAUGGGACCGAGGUAAAAACUGAGGUGGUGUAAGAUGGGCCCGCGUCUGAUUAGGUAGUUGGUGGGGUAGAAGCCUACCAAGCCGACGAUCAGUAGCCGACCUGAGAGGGCGACCGGCCACAUUGGGACUGACACACGGCCCAAACUCCUACGGGAGGCAGCGGUGGGGAAUAUUGCACAAUGGGGGAAACCCUGAUGCAGCGACGCCGCGUGAGUGAGGAAGUAUUUCGGUUUUGCAAAGCUCUGUCAGCAGGGAAGAAAGAAAUGACGGCACCUGACCAAGAAACCCCGGCUAAAUACUUGCCAGCAACCGCGGUAUAGACGUAGGGGGCAAGCUAUUAUCCUCAAUUAUUUGGGUGUAAAGGGAGCGGCCGCCCCCCCCCCAGUCCUCAGUGAAAGGCGGGGGCCCAACCCCCCGGACUGCUUUGGAAACUAUGUGACUUGAGUGCAGGAGAGGUAAGCGGAAUUCCUAGUGUAGCGGUGAAAAGCGUAGAUAUUAGGAGGAACACCAGUGGCGAAGGCGGCUUACUGGAACUGUUAACUGACGUUGAGGCUCGAAAGACGUGGGGAGCAAACAGGAUUAGAUACCCUGGUAGUCCACGCCGUAAACGAUGAUUACUAGGUGUCGGGUGGGUAUGGACCCAUCGGUGCCGCAGCAAACGCAGUAAGUAAUCCACCUGGGGAGUACGUUCGCAAGAAUGAAACUCAAAGGAAUUGACGGGGACCCGCACAAGCGGUGGAGCAUGUGGUUUAAUCCGAAGCAACGCGAAGAACCUUACCAAGUCUUGACAUCUGGAUGACAGGGACGUAACGGUCCCCUUACUUCGGUACAUCCAAGACAGGUGGUGCAUGGUUGUCGUCAGCUCGUGUCGUGAGAUGUUGGGUUAAGUCCCGCAACGAGCGCAACCCUUAUCUUCAGUAGCCAGCAGGUAAAGCCGGGCACUCUGGAGAGACUGCCGGGGAUAACCCGGAGGAAGGUGGGGAUGACGUCAAAUCAUCAUGCCCCUUAUGAUUUGGGCUACACACGUGCUACAAUGGCGUAAACAGAGGGAAGCGAGCCCGCGAGGGGGAGCAAAUCCCAAAAAUAACGUCCCAGUUCGGAUUGUAGUCUGCAACCCGACUACAUGAAGCUGGAAUCGCUAGUAAUCGCGGAUCAGAAUGCCGCGGUGAAUACGUUCCCGGGUCUUGCACUCACCGCCCGUCA
rnacentral:rRNA from 1 species